GGAAUAUUGGUCAAUGGACGCAAGUCUGAACCAGCCAUGCCGCGUGGAGGAUGAAGGUCCUCUGGAUUGUAAACUUCUUUUAUCUGGGAAGAAAUGGUUGCUUUCUAGCGAUCUUGACGGUACCAGAUGAAUAAGCACCGGCUAACUCCGUGCCAGCAGCCGCGGUAAUACGGAGGGUGCAAGCGUUAUCCGGAUUCACUGGGUUUAAAGGGUGCGUAGGCGGAACAGAAAGUCCGUUGUGAAAUCUCCGAGCUUAACUCGGAAAUUGCGGUGGAUACUAUUGUUCUUGAAUACUGUGGAGGUUAGCGGAAUAUGUCAUGUAGCGGUGAAAUGCAUAGAUAUGACAUAGAACACCAAUUGCGAAGGCAGCUGGCUACACAGAUAUUGACGCUGAGGCACGAAAGCGUGGGGAUCAAACAGGA
rnacentral:misc_RNA from 1 species